UCCGAAUCGAUUCAUUCCAAAAGGUCUGAGUUCGGCCCCACAGAUAUCCGAAUCGAUUCAUGGACACAAGCUGCAAUGUCGCUGUCGUAUCCCAGAAACUCUCCUACGGACGGAUAACAAUGAACGAGAGCUGACAGGGAAGAUGAGGAGAUGAAGGAGAAACAAGCAAAAACCGACGGAGGAGAUCGAAAUAAGUAGUCCACGGCCUGCAAGAGAAAGUCUUCAGGCGUUGGCUUUAGAAAUCUUCCAGAAAUGAGUUCAAAUCCAACAUACAUGGGUCAAUUCCAUGAGCUACUUUCUGAGCGUCUUAAUGUGGACAGAGGAGAUGAAUAUGAUGAGCACAGAUAGAUAGAAGAUUGUCAAUGUAAGCAUAUCAUUUUUAAGCUAUCUUUCUGUCCAAGGAGGAAGCAAGAGGAGCAAAUAUCUGCAUAGAGGAAACAUCAUAGGCCAACAUUGAUAAGCAUAUUUAUACUGUUUCUCACUUAUUGCUUGCUAAACUCAAUACUUGAACUACCUCUAGUCUUUACAAAGGUUAAUCAUGUGAUCAUGAAUUUCUUCCAGAUUGGCGGACCUAUUAGUCUGGCAGGUAUUUAAUCAAUUCAGAUUAUUAUGUUUAGGAGCAAAAUUCUUUUUGGCUGUUUUCCCUUGGUCUCUCAUUUUUGGCGGGAGAAGUAAUCAAUCAUUAGUACAGAUAGAAGCCAAGUACUGGAAGGAGCAGAAGCAGUAGAAUUUGCAGUGUUAUAUAUAUAUGUAUGUAUACAUUUACAAGUAUGAAGAACUAAUUCAGCAGCCAUCAUUGUAUGCAAACAUCAGACCACAACAUCCAAAAAACCAGGAAAACAAGACAGAACCUUUGAAGAUUAUCUCCCAUGAAUCUUUAAGCAAAUUCAGCUAUGAAUUGGUCGUCAAGCAAGAACUCAGGCCAAAUGGAGUGAGUCUCAUUCUCAUUGCAGCUAGACAUGCUGCAAACAUCCCCCUGGUUGGCAACUGAUGCACCAUUGAGAGGAGGAAGAGAUGGAGGAGGAGAAAUGUGCUGUGUUGUUAUUUGGCUGUUGUCUCCCUGGCUAAAUCCCGCAGUCAUGGUGUAACACUCAAUGUUCUCCUGGCUUGUAGGCGGCUCAAACAUGACUGAUGCUAUCUGGUUAACUUGUUCAUGGCCGUUGAUAUUUUGACGACCAGAAGGCGCCAUUGUGGGAAAGGGUGAAGUCAUCUGAGAGUUAAGCAGGCUCAUGGUCUCCAAGUCAGCAGCUGUGGUGGUGCCGAGGCCACUGCUGUUGGAACUAUUUGUCAUGGUACUUGCAGAUUGUAACAGGAACUGAAGGUACUGAAGCUUCGUAGCCUGGACUGCCUCGGUUUGGAAGCGUGCAGCAUGGUUGUCCUUCGGCCAACCAUCGACGAAUUCACAGAGAUUGGCAAGGGCAAUGAGCUGGGGGAGAGCUGAAAAGAAGUCAGUCCUUGGCUGAUGAGUCAUGGGAUCGAACCCCAUUUGGAUGAGCUUCUUCUUGAGGUGGGUGUUCCAAAAGUUCUUGAUCUCAUUGUCCGUACGUCCAGGAAGGUGCGUGGCAAUUGCAGACCACCUGAACUGAUUGAAUUCAGAUCAAAGACGGACCAAAUAUCGGAACGCAUGCACGACAUUAGCCGAGAGAGAGGAAUCAGUAUAAUCAGUAAUGUUAUUACUUGUUGCCUAAGAUGGAGUGCAGAUUGAGGAUGGUUUGCUCUUCCUCGUCCGAGAAUUUUCCUCUCUUAAUAUCUGGCCUCAAAUAGUUGGUCCAUCUCAGCCUGCAACUCUUGCCACAUCUAUUCAGACCUGUGUAAAAUCUUAGUGAGAAGGCUGAAAGCAAGAUCACCAAUAUGCAUAUAAACAUGUAAUCAGUAAGAAAUGAAAGGCACCAGCAAGUUUAGGGAGGGCUCGCCAGCUGCCGUGGCCCUGCUUUUCUAUGUACUGAAUCAGCUUCUGAUCCUCUUCAGGAGUCCAGGGACCUUUCUUGAGGCCAUUCUCGUCACAGCAGGGCGAUCUCCCCAUUGAAGGAAUGGAAUCGAGCUGGGUGGGAGAGGUAGGGGGAGUAGCUACCAGAAGAUGAGCUGCUUCUUUAUAAACACUCGGUCGUUUGGUUGCUCCUGUAUUUAAAUAUCAUCAUGACUCUGGAGCAUGCUACGUGCCAUGCCUGCGGCUCUGCUGAAUAUAUAGCUUUAGGAAAAUGAUGGUUAAUUAGAUCACAAGUAAUCAUUUGUUCGUACGUAGUCAGUCACUAGUACUUUACUGAGGGUUACCGUGUAUGACAGAUAAUUCAAGAGCCUGAAAUCUAAGAUUUUUCAUGUACA